AUAUAUUCAGAACUCAGAAGCUCCUCCAUCAGUCUGCAGCUCAUAUCCUCAGUGUUAUGUCACUCCAAAUUUCCAACAUCACCUGAAAGUCUAGCUCCACAUUUGUGCUUCCAUCCAAAAUACACCGCCCACGUUGCAUUCGCCGCUUCUACGCUUCGCUUUUCCCAGCUGCAAUCGCCGGUCCCGCCACUGCAUUCUCAGUUGCCACCGCCGUCACCGUAGCUUCCAGUUAAAUCUAUGGAUAGUGCUUCAGACCAAAAAGAAGAAGAAGAAUUAUAUUGGUUAGUGCACGUUAUCUUGCUUUUUAUGUGUCUUACCUCAGUGAUACGAUACGAUUGAUGAGGAGGAUUAACUUGAAUUGUGUAUUUACCCAGGGAAAAAAAACCAGGUCUUUGAUGCAAGACUUCAGUAUUUCCCUUUUAGCUGCCUCUCCACUCUCUUCAGAGAUGACCCCGAACUUGAUAGAACGCUGAAGGAAAGAGUUAGAUGGGGUGAUCCUAUGGCACAUUUGGUCAAGGGUUUGAGAAACAAAUGUUCAAUAGAAUGAAUGAGAAACAAGCUACAGAGAGGGAGGCGUGUUUGUGCUCUGCGUCAGAUAUGUGAGGAGUGGUAACCAGUAGCAUACGACACCUGACGGGUUGAAACUACAGAAAAGACGAGGACAAGGGAUUUAUCAGUGGAAAACCAACAGAGGAUUGACUGGAAAGGCGAUCAACGGCACGAAGGAGAUUAGACCUGGGGAAUGGCAACUUUGUCUUGUAUCCUAUUCAUGCUAUUGCAGCUCUCUACUGCAGAAUUUUUAUUCAAUGCUAAUACUACUUUUUCUUUUUC